AACGAACGCUGGCGGCGUGUUUAAGACAUGCAAGUCGCACGGUGUCAUUUUGGUAGCAAUACUUGGAUGGCACAGUGGCGCACGGGUGAGUAACACGUGAAUGACAUGCCCUUCAGAGGGGGAUAGCCCAGGGAAACUUGGAUUAAUACCCCAUGGUCUCGCAAGAGUAAAGGUGGCCGCAAGGCUGUCGCUGGAGGAUUGGUUCGCGCUCUAUCAGCUUGUUGGCGGGGUAACGGCCCACCAAGGCUACGACGGAUACCUGGUCUGAGAGGACGAUCAGGCACACUGGAACUGAGACACGGUCCAGACACCUACGGGUGGCAGCAGUCGAGAAUAAUUCACAAUGGGGCAACCCUGAUGGUGCAACGCCGCGUGGAGGAUGAAGGUCUUCGGAUUGUAAACUCCUGUCAUCCGGGAGCAAGACCUGACGGUGACUAGCCGGCAGGGUUGAUAGUACCGGAAGAGGAAGGGACGGCUAACUUCGUGCCAGCAGCCGCGGUAAUAC
rnacentral:rRNA from 1 species